AUCUGGUGGGGUAGUGGUGUUUACCGGACAUGGAAGGGGGGGGAAGAGAAAGAGAAUGGUUUUUUGUUUUUUUUUUCAAGUGUCAAUUUUUAGUCCAAAUAGACGCCACGUCAGCUCGAUAUUACCACGUAGGCGACAAGUCAGCCCGGAGCUUCACCGGAGAAAAAAAUAUGGAAAAAUUGUUCAAUACAUUAAGUUCAGGGAAUUUU
rnacentral:lncRNA from 1 species